GACGAACGCUGGCGGCGUGCUUAACACAUGCAAGUCGAGCGGUAAGGCCCUUUCGGGGGUACACGAGCGGCGAACGGGUGAGUAACACGUGGGUGACCUGCCCUCAGCUCUGGGAUAAGCCUGGGAAACUGGGUCUAAUACCGGAUAUGACUCCAUGACGCAUGUCGUGGGGUGGAAAGCCUUGUGCGGCUGGGGAUGGGCCCGCGGCCUAUCAGCUUGUUGGUGGGGNGAUGGCCUACCAAGGCGACGACGGGUAGCCGGCCUGAGAGGGCGACCGGCCACACUGGGACUGAGACACGGCCCAGACUCCUACGGGAGGCAGCAGUGGGGAAUCUUGCGCAAUGGGCGAAAGCCUGACGCAGCGACGCCGCGUGAGGGAUGACGGCC
rnacentral:rRNA from 1 species